rnacentral:rRNA from 1 species
CGUAGGGUCCAAGCGUUAUCCGGAAUCACUGGGCGUAAAGCGUGCGUAGGCGGUUUGUUAAGUGAGAUGUUAAAACGUGGGGCUCAACCCCGUCGGUGCAUCUCAUACUGGCAGACUAGAGGACGGCAGAGGCAAGUGGAAUUGGUAGUGUAGCAGUGAAAUGCGUAGAUAUUACCAGGAACACCAAUGGCGAAGGCAGCUUGCUGGGCCGACCCUGACGCUGAGGUACGAAAGCGUGGGGAGCGAACAGGAUUAGAUACCCUGGUAGUCCACGCCGUAAACGAUGCAUACUAGACGUAUGGGGUAUCGACCCCCUGUGCGUCGCAGCUAACGCGAUAAGUAUGCCGCCUGGGAAGUACGGCCGCAAGGCUA